rnacentral:lncRNA from 1 species
GCUGAUUUUUCUCCAAACAGGUCUGCAGCCCUGAAGACCCAAAGCACAACAGCAAAGCAGAGGGGCCAUCAACCAAUAUUAAUAUCAAUAUUGCAAAAUUGACAUCUUUGACAGUUGAACUCUCCACGUUGCAGAGAGAAACUAUGGAGAAAGGUUUGUCGUGUUGCUGCUGGCUGAAGCUCAUCUGUGCUGGCUGGAGAAACCCUGCAGAACUGCCAGGAUGAGCAGAGCUGCAGCCAGAGAUGCUGCUUCGGCCUGAGAGGGCACAUGCAUCAAUGUGUAGAGAUGUCAGAAUGAUGGGCCGCCGCAGCACAGCGCCCCGAGCAGUUAGGGGCUCGCUGCCUUGCUCAAGGGCACCUCAGCGGUUCCCAGAAGGUGAACUGGCACCUCUCCAGAUACCAGUCCACACGCCGUACUUGGUCCGACUGGCGACCCUAAGGUUCCCAAGCCAAGUCCCUGUGGACUGAGCUACUGCAGCCCUGCUAUCUGCAUUUAAAAUGUUAAAGAUGUACUUAAUAAAUAAGUCUACAGUGAUUUGUAGUUAAGUGAC